CGUUUGACUUAUAAAAAUGGUGGAAACAUAGAUUAAGUUAUUAAGGGCGCACGGUGGAUGCCUUGGCACUAGAAGCCGAUGAAGGACGUUACUAACGACGAUAUGCUUUGGGGAGCUGUAAGUAAGCUUUGAUCCAGAGAUUUCCGAAUGGGGAAACCCAGCAUGAGUUAUGUCAUGUUAUCGAUAUGUGAAUACAUAGCAUAUCAGAAGGCACACCCGGAGAACUGAAACAUCUUAGUACCCGGAGGAAGAGAAAGAAAAUUCGAUUCCCUUAGUAGCGGCGAGCGAAACGGGAAGAGCCCAAACCAACAAGCUUGCUUGUUGGGGUUGUAGGACACUCUAUACGGAGUUACAAAGGACGACAUUAGACGAAUCAUAUGGAAAGAUGAAUCAAAGAAGGUAAUAAUCCUGUAGUCGAAAAUGUUGUCUCUCUUGAGUGGAUCCUGAGUACGACGGAGCACGUGAAAUUCCGUCGGAAUCUGGGAGGACCAUCUCCUAAGGCUAAAUACUCUCUAGUGACCGAUAGUGAACCAGUACCGUGAGGGAAAGGUGAAAAGCACCCCGGAAGGGGAGUGAAAUAGAACCUGAAACCGUGUGCUUACAAGUAGUCAGAGCCCGUUAAUGGGUGAUGGCGUGCCUUUUGUAGAAUGAACCGGCGAGUUACGAUUUGAUGCAAGGUUAAGCAGUAAAUGUGGAGCCGUAGCGAAAGCGAGUCUGAAUAGGGCGUUUAGUAUUUGGUCGUAGACCCGAAACCAGGUGAUCUACCCUUGGUCAGGUUGAAGUUCAGGUAACACUGAAUGGAGGACCGAACCGACUUACGUUGAAAAGUGAGCGGAUGAACUGAGGGUAGCGGAGAAAUUCCAAUCGAACCUGGAGAUAGCUGGUUCUCUCCGAAAUAGCUUUAGGGCUAGCCUCAAGUGAUGAUUAUUGGAGGUAGAGCACUGUUUGGACGAGGGGCCCCUCUCGGGUUACCGAAUUCAGACAAACUCCGAAUGCCAAUUAAUUUAACUUGGGAGUCAGAACAUGGGUGAUAAGGUCCGUGUUCGAAAGGGAAACAGCCCAGACCACCAGCUAAGGUCCCAAAAUAUAUGUUAAGUGGAAAAGGAUGUGGCGUUGCCCAGACAACUAGGAUGUUGGCUUAGAAGCAGCCAUCAUUUAAAGAGUGCGUAAUAGCUCACUAGUCGAGUGACACUGCGCCGAAAAUGUACCGGGGCUAAACAUAUUACCGAAGCUGUGGAUUGUCCUUUGGACAAUGGUAGGAGAGCGUUCUAAGGGCGUUGAAGCAUGAUCGUAAGGACAUGUGGAGCGCUUAGAAGUGAGAAUGCCGGUGUGAGUAGCGAAAGACGGGUGAGAAUCCCGUCCACCGAUUGACUAAGGUUUCCAGAGGAAGGCUCGUCCGCUCUGGGUUAGUCGGGUCCUAAGCUGAGGCCGACAGGCGUAGGCGAUGGAUAACAGGUUGAUAUUCCUGUACCACCUAUAAUCGUUUUAAUCGAUGGGGGGACGCAGUAGGAUAGGCGAAGCGUGCGAUUGGAUUGCACGUCUAAGCAGUAAGGCUGAGUAUUAGGCAAAUCCGGUACUCGUUAAGGCUGAGCUGUGAUGGGGAGAAGACAUUGUGUCUUCGAGUCGUUGAUUUCACACUGCCGAGAAAAGCCUCUAGAUAGAAAAUAGGUGCCCGUACCGCAAACCGACACAGGUAGUCAAGAUGAGAAUUCUAAGGUGAGCGAGCGAACUCUCGUUAAGGAACUCGGCAAAAUGACCCCGUAACUUCGGGAGAAGGGGUGCUCUUUAGGGUUAACGCCCAGAAGAGCCGCAGUGAAUAGGCCCAAGCGACUGUUUAUCAAAAACACAGGUCUCUGCUAAACCGUAAGGUGAUGUAUAGGGGCUGACGCCUGCCCGGUGCUGGAAGGUUAAGAGGAGUGGUUAGCUUCUGCGAAGCUACGAAUCGAAGCCCCAGUAAACGGCGGCCGUAACUAUAACGGUCCUAAGGUAGCGAAAUUCCUUGUCGGGUAAGUUCCGACCCGCACGAAAGGCGUAACGAUUUGGGCACUGUCUCAACGAGAGACUCGGUGAAAUCAUAGUACCUGUGAAGAUGCAGGUUACCCGCGACAGGACGGAAAGACCCCGUGGAGCUUUACUGUAGCCUGAUAUUGAAAUUCGGCACAGCUUGUACAGGAUAGGUAGGAGCCUUUGAAACGUGAGCGCUAGCUUACGUGGAGGCGCUGGUGGGAUACUACCCUAGCUGUGUUGGCUUUCUAACCCGCACCACUUAUCGUGGUGGGAGACAGUGUCAGGCGGGCAGUUUGACUGGGGCGGUCGCCUCCUAAAAGGUAACGGAGGCGCUCAAAGGUUCCCUCAGAAUGGUUGGAAAUCAUUCAUAGAGUGUAAAGGCAUAAGGGAGCUUGACUGCGAGACCUACAAGUCGAGCAGGGUCGAAAGACGGACUUAGUGAUCCGGUGGUUCCGCAUGGAAGGGCCAUCGCUCAACGGAUAAAAGCUACCCCGGGGAUAACAGGCUUAUCUCCCCCAAGAGUUCACAUCGACGGGGAGGUUUGGCACCUCGAUGUCGGCUCAUCGCAUCCUGGGGCUGUAGUCGGUCCCAAGGGUUGGGCUGUUCGCCCAUUAAAGCGGUACGCGAGCUGGGUUCAGAACGUCGUGAGACAGUUCGGUCCCUAUCCGUCGUGGGCGUAGGAAAUUUGAGAGGAGCUGUCCUUAGUACGAGAGGACCGGGAUGGACAUACCUCUGGUGUACCAGUUGUCGUGCCAACGGCAUAGCUGGGUAGCUAUGUGUGGACGGGAUAAGUGCUGAAAGCAUCUAAGCAUGAAGCCCCCCUCAAGAUGAGAUUUCCCAACUUCGGUUAUAAGAUCCCUCAAAGAUGAUGAGGUUAAUAGGUUCGAGGUGGAAGCAUGGUGACAUGUGGAGCUGACGAAUACUAAUCGAUCGAAGACUUAAUCAA
rnacentral:rRNA from 1 species